rnacentral:rRNA from 1 species
GACGAACGCUGGCGGCGUGCUUAACACAUGCAAGUCGAACGGAAAGGCCCUGCUUUUGUGGGGUGCUCGAGUGGUGAACGGGUGAGUCACACGUGAGUAACCUGCCCUUGACUUUGGGAUAACUUCAGGAAACUGGGGCUAAUACCGGAUAGGAGCUCCUGCUGCAUGGUGGGGGUUGGAAAGUUUCGGCGGUUGGGGAUGGACUCGCGGCUUAUCAGCUUGUUGGUGGGGUAGUGGCUUACCAAGGCUUUGACGGGUAGCCGGCCUGAGAGGGUGACCGGCCACAUUGGGACUGAGAUACGGCCCAGACUCCUACGGGAGGCAGCAGUGGGGAAUAUUGCACAAUGGGCGGAAGCCUGAUGCAGCAACGCCGCGUGCGGGAUGACGGCCUUCGGGUUGUAAACCGCUUUCGCCUGUGACGAAGCGUGAGUGACGGUAAUGGGUAAAGAAGCACCGGCUAACUACGUG